CCCGGGUCGACAUUCGCUGUUCAUGCUUCUAGACUCCCCCGUGCUCUCGUCCUGGCAGGCGCUCUACGUGCAGGUGCCGGAACCAAGGCCUCUGCAGGCCUUGCUCUCGCUCUACAGGUUAGCCAUAGGCAUGCACCCACCCGGGAGUCCUCCCAGCAUCCCUCUGGAGUGCCCAGGCCCUGUGCCCUGCUACUCCCCGGGAAUACGAGCUUCAACUCCAGAUCCCCACGCUCUGCGUAGUGCACGGCACUUGGAAGCGUAUGUGGUGAAAGGAAGAAUUAAGGUUGUCAUCGCAGAAUGGAGAUUCCAAAGAUAGAGAAACCAGCACGAUCUCGGCCUUCGCUUGCACAAUCAGAGCUCUGUGUCCGAUCCCUGGGCUUGGACGGCUUUUGUGUUACUCUGGCCAAGUUUAAUUCCACACCGCCACCCGCCCCCAGGUGACAGUCAGGCUUGGGGCAGGAGCAGCGCUCUUGGCAUUGCGGAUCUGCUCCCUGGGAAAGAUGGGGCGACCAUAUCUGCACGCAGUGUUCAAGAUGUGGACAUACCAUAGAUUUAUAUAGAGGCAAUAUGAUAUUUUUUGUCGUCUUAUCUAUCCCUUUCUUAAUGAUUCACAACAUUGUUUGUUUUUUUGGCUGCUGCUGCACAUUGAGUGGAUGUUUUCAGAGAACUAUCCACAGUGACUCCACGAUCUCUUUCGUGAGUGGUAACAGCUAAUUUAGACCCCAUCAUUUCAUAUGUAUAGUCGGGAUUAUGUUUUCCAAUGUGCAUUACUUUGCUUUUAUUAACAUUGGAUUUCAUCAGCCAUUUUAUUCCCAGUAACCCAGUUUUGUGAGAUCCUUUUGUAGCUCUUUGCAGUGUGCUUGGGACUUGACUUAGAUUCUAGCUAUUGCGGUUGUAAACAUAACCUUGAAAAUGUGAACAGGGUGUAUGCUGACGCUGUGAUGUCUGCUUGAGUUUGCACACAGCCUGA